rnacentral:rRNA from 1 species
UACGGGGGAUGCAAGCGUUAUCCGGAAUCAUUGGGUGUAAAGCGCCUGUAGGUUGUUUGAUAAGUCUGUUGUUAAAGCCUAGGGCUUAACCCUAGAAAAGCGAUGGAAACUACCAGACUAGAGUAUGGAAGGGGUAGAGGGAAUUUCUAGUGUAGCGGUGAAAUGCGUAGAUACUAGAAAGAACACCAGAGGCGAAAGCGCUCUACUGGGCCAGUACUGACACUCAGAGGCGAAAGCUAGGGUAGCAAAAGGGAUUAGAUACCCCUGUAGUCCUAGCCGUAAACGAUGGAUACUAGAUGUUGCGCUUUUGUGCAGUGUCGUAGCUAACGCGUUAAGUAUCCCGCCUGGGGAGUACGCUCGCAAGGGUG